AGUCUGGAGUGAAAGGCGACGGCUCAACCGUCGACGCGCUUCGGAAACUGGGGGACUUGAGGGCAGGAGAGGCGAGUGGAAUUCCCGGUGUAGCGGUGAGAUGCGUAGAGAUCGGGAAGAACACCAGUGGCGAAGGCGGCUCGCUGGACUGGCCCUGACGCUGUCGCGCGAAAGCGUGGGGAGCGAACGGGAUUAGAUACCCCGGUAGUCCACGCCGUAAACGAUGGGCACUAGGUGUGGGAGGUAUCGACCCCUCCCGUGCCGGAGUUAACACACUAAGUGCCCCGCCUGGGGAGUACGGCCGCAAGGUUGAAACUCAAAGGAAUUGACGGGGGCCCGCACAAGCAGUGGAGCAUGUGGUUUAAUUCGACGCAACGCGAAGAACCUUACCCGGGCUUGACAUCCCCGGAACACCCGAGAGAUCGGGUGGCUCUACGGAGCCGGGAGACAGGUGCUGCAUGGUUGUCGUCAGCUCGUGUCGUGAGAUGUUGGGUUAAGUCCCGCAACGAGCGCAACCCUUGUCCCGUGUUACCAGCGUAAAGGCGGGGACUCACGGGAGACUGCCGGUGACAAACCGGAGGAAGGUGGGGAUGACGUCAAAUCAUCAUGGCCCUUAUGUCCGGGGCUACACACGUGCUACAAUGGCCGGCACAGCGGGAUGCGAAGGGGCGACCCGGAGCGAAUCCCUGAAAGCCGGUCCCAGUUCGGAUCGCAGGCUGAAACCCGCCUGCGUGAAGCCGGAAUUGCUAGUAAUCGCGG
rnacentral:rRNA from 1 species